GGGGUUGUGGCUCAGAGGUAGAGCACUCGCCUUGCACGUGUAGGACCCUGGGUUUGAUCCUCAGCAACACAU
rnacentral:tRNA from 1 species